CCGGACUCGUCCAGCGGCAGGACACGCGGCUCUGACCCGCGAGAGCCAGGUUCGAAUCCUGGGUCCGGUG
rnacentral:tRNA from 2 species